GACCGCUUUACUCUGAAUCACUCUCUCAAUCCCUCUCAUAUCUUAUUCUGGCAGGUCAGAAACUCUGGGUUCAGACCACACUGUUUCAGCAGUUUGCAGUUUGUGGUUGUAGCUUCAAUAUUUAUACCGUGGUGUACAAACCAUAUUGAGCUUGUUGGAACUAUGGGAAGUUUUUUAAGUUGCAACCGAAGAAAGAAGAAACCUAAAAACGCUGAUAAUGACCAUCAGAGAGAAACAGCAGACACAAAGACAGAAGAUGUCCUCUAUGCCUCCAUUGACCACGGUAACAUCAGUCCAAACAGACCUGUUCGAGACGUGGAUGACAACGAUUGUGAUUAUGCUGUUGUAAAUCUCCCUCAAAACACAACAGACUCGGCCAAGCACAAAAGCUAUGAGGACAGUACAGAUGAUUAUGUGCUUAUGGGUUGAGCACCGAGAUGCUUCUGUGGCUGAAAUCUGCACAUUCAGUUGGAAUGGACACCUGAGAUACACAAGCACAACUUUAACGGCUUGUUAACUUUGUAUAGGUUGCAAUGAUAUUCCACUUUUUAAAAUUGGUAUUUAUUUGUUUUUCUUUUCUUUUUUUAUAAUUAUUUCAUUUCAGGUCUGUUUUUGUCACUUUAUGUUUACAGCAUGAAGUAAAAUAUGUUUAAGACUUUUGAUAUUUUGAAGCAUUAUA
rnacentral:lncRNA from 1 species